GCUAUAUUUUCCUCACUUUACAACAAUUCACAACAAAACUUGGCAAUUUUACUCAUUUUAAGAUGCUCUUUCCAGUUAUCUUUCCAGCAAGUUCUUCUUGUCCAGAUCAAAAUUUCGUCUAUAGCUGGAAUCAUCCAUUUCACCCCAACUCUGCAACUGCGAUCCUGCAUCCCCUCCCUCGUUUUCUACCAAACCCUGCUCGGCAGGCUAUAAUAUGUAGUAACUAAUUAUGCUCAUACAUUCACGAAGCUAACAUUAAUCUAACUAUCUUUACUUUCACGAGACAAGUUCGAUAUUUUCUCUCUCAGCAACAAGGCUCUUCUUUCCCUUUCCUUCUUGUGGCAUUUCAAGUUUUCUUACAUCCUGCAGUGUCUCCGGCAGUUUCACAUUUAACGUUUCUGGUAGCAAUAGGGCAAGUGCACCUGACAGCAGAAGCAUUCCACCAAAUAUAAUAAAAGGUACGGCCUCGGCUGUGUAUUCGCCCUAUGGAAAAACAUUGUUAAAUUGCCACUAUAACUUAAAAU